UUACAGUUCUGUCUGCAGAAGAUGACAAGAAGGAAAGAUCUUGUGUAUGCCAUCUGCACUGAAUCACUUUGUCUUUAUGCUCCCCUACCACCAUAGUUGGGAGCUGCUUGAACCCGUGAGAAGGUAAUGAGCCCCAGGGGAAAAGCGGACAGAACGGACAUCACUGGAAUGAGGAUGGUAACUCUGCACCAUUCGCCCUCCACGAAUAUCAUACAGCAUACAGCUGGAAUCCUCCUGGCCUGUAGCUAGAAGACGACCACUAGGAUCUACAGCUACUGAUGCCACAGCACUGCCUGCAAGGAGAAAUCCCAUAAAUGAAAUCAGUACCAUUUCUCUAGAUAAUAACUUGCUAUUUUCCAAACAGCAACUCUACUGGCCAACCAUGGCAAG